rnacentral:tRNA from 1 species
GGGGCCGUGGGGUAGCUUGGUUUAUCCUCAUUGGUUUGGGACCAAUAGACCCCAGUUCGAAUCUGGGCGGCCUCA